CUAAAUUAAGGUCUCUUUUCUUUGGUCCUUAACGCGACGUGGCAGGACAGGAUUGGGAGAAGAAACACGCUCCGCGUUGUUGAUAGUGUUUUGGAAAGAGAGGGGUUUGUUCUGAAUCAAAAUCAAAGGCGAGGAGUUUGUUCUGAAUCAAAAUCGAAGGCCAUAUGUUCUUAUGAAGACCGAAAACGAACUCGAAGGCUAGGGUUUUUUUAAGAAUCGAAAUCAAAGGCCUCUCACAUCGGUUAGAUGAGAGUCCUUGUUCAGAAUCGAAUUCAAAGAUCUUCUGAAAACGAAACGAAAUCAAAGAUUACCAGUGGAACUGAGUAGCUGUGUGUUGAGUGCUGGUGAUGGGUAUUAGUUCUUCGAGGACUAGACUAGCAAUAAGACUGAGGCUGGGCGAGAGAACCAAGUGCAAGAUGGGCAAGUUCAGUAGCAGCAGCAACAACCUGCAAGUCAAAGGCAAGUGUCAAGGACUUACCAAUAAUCUACAAAUUUUGAAAAGUCCUUAACUUUGUCUCUGAACAUAAAAGUAAUAAUAAAAUAUGUUAAGGACUCAAAAACA